rnacentral:rRNA from 1 species
UACGGAGGGGGCUAGCGUUGUUCGGAAUUACUGGGCGUAAAGGGCGCGUAGGCGGUCUGCUAAGCGUGCGGUGAAAGCCUGGGGCUCAACCCCAGGUCUGCCGUGCGAACUGGUGGACUAGAGCACUGUAGAGGCAGGUGGAAUUCCGGGUGUAGCGGUGGAAUGCGUAGAGAUCCGGAAGAACACCGGUGGCGAAGGCGGCCUGCUGGGCAGUGCUGACGCUGAGGCGCGACAGCGUGGGAGCAACAGGAUUAGAA